GCCAAGUGCGCCUUGGGAGCUGGGAAUCAGCCCUGCGCUCACUGGAAGCCACAUUCCAGGGCAUUCAACCAAAAAAACACGCCAACCACAGACAGGAACAGGCAGCUAUAGAAGGGUCAGGAAAUGCUUGGCCAGCACACACCAGGCUGCACAUCCCUGAAUGACAGAAGCGGAUUCAAAAUGGAUGGCUAUUUUUCUGGAGACUAAUUAGGCUGGUCUAGGGCUGUGUGAAGAUGGAGGCAGAUGCCGAGCACUAUCAGAUCACCCCAUUUGGAAGUAGCGAUUGAUUUUCUUGGACAGCAUCAGGUUCAAACAAGCAGCAAGUAUUACAGACCUGGAAAUCACUCGUGUGGCAGGAGCUCCUUCACUCCUGCUCUUUCCAUGAGGUGCGCAGGCAGGUGAACAGCAGCACUGGUUCCAUAGUCCAGUAACAUUGACAGGGCCAUAGUGGACCACAUUUCUGGUGUGAUGGCAGAUAGGAAAAACACACUAACACUGCAACAAAAGAUUGAAGUCAUCAAAGGUAAUAAACAAGAGAAGUUAGAUGCUAAACAGUCGACAGUUAAGUUUCAAUGUAGUAAAAUAUAGAUCUACAACAUUUAAAAAAAAUAAAGACAAGCUAAAGGUAGUGGUUGCCUAGUGAAUGGCAUGCAAAAAAAAUAAAGUAAAAAUCUCAGACUACAGGCAGCAAGGAUUUGUUUACACAUGGUUUGUGGAUAUCCAUGCAAGAAAUCUGCCUACGUCGGAAAUGUUUCUUCAGUCAGGCAGAACUGGUCACGGAGAAACUUGCAACGCAUAAGUUUAAAGCAUCAAAUGGAUGGCUAGAGCUUCCAAAGCUGACACAACUUAACACUGAACCAGCAUGAAGCAAGGCCAACAUCAAUGAAGAAUCCAUGAGUAAAUGGUUAGAUGGUGUCAAAUUGCUGAGCAAAGAUUACAAGCCUAGAAAUUUAGUAAACUGUGAUGAGACAGGAUUGCUUUUAGAGCAUUUCCUAUUAAAACAUUACAGUAACUUUGAAAACUGAAGAGUGUAUUGGGAAAAGCAAGAGAGAGAGAGACUUAUUGGUGUGUAGUUUUGUGGACAAAAACACUAGAGAAACCUUUGGUAACAGGGAAAUCACUAAGUCCACAAUGUUUCAAAAACAUUAAGAAGGAUGAUUUGCCUGUAACUUGGUGUGCGAACAGGAAGGCACGGAUGAUGUCUACUUUAAUGGAAAAUUGGCUUCAAGAUUUCAACAAUAAAAUAAAAAAAGAAAAAUGUGAAGUCUUGUGUAUUCCUUGAUUAAUACUGCAUGACACACUACCCUAAAACUGUCAAUUGUAAAGUUAUUUUUUAUCUUUGCAGCAUGACUAGUGUCACACAACCAAGGCAUCACAGUGUUAAGUGUCUAAAAGCUCACUGCACAAGGCUACUGCUGCAAUCAUUGUUGGCAAAAAUAUCACUGAACUUGCAAAGAAGACUUCUGUGCUGGAUGCCAUCUGCUGGAUUUCUGUUGCUACAAACCAAGUUGGACCCGAUAGCUUCACAAAAUGUUUCCAUAAAACUGGGUUUGCUUUUGAAGGAAUGGGGACUGAUGUGGAAAAGAGUUCCUUAGACAGGCCAAUUGGUGACUUUAAAGAACUGAUAGGUCAACGAACAUGCAAAAUGUUGACUCUAUGGAGUACAAUGACGUAGGUAUGAAACUCAGCACAGAGUCUGGUUCCAAACCACAGAAGUACUGACUGCAUGGGGGAUCAGCAAUGAUAAACCAACAGAAGACGACGAAGUUGGUUGAAAAAGAUAAGAAAAGAACUUCCGUGGAGCACUACAAAACACUGCUGCAUGGAAGACUUUGCUAUUCACAUUAACAUCCUAAUACGAUGAACGUGUUAACUGAAUUGUACCCAGUUGCAGAAAAAAAGCUACUACUCCAGGCUUGUCCAACAUAUGGUCCAUGGGCCGCCAUGUGGCCCGCCAAGCCAUUUUA